rnacentral:rRNA from 1 species
GAUGAACGCUGGCGGCGUGCCUAAUACAUGCAAGUCGAGCGAACGGACGAGAAGCUUGCUUCUCUGAUGUUAGCGGCGGACGGGUGAGUAACACGUGGAUAACCUACCUAUAAGACUGGGAUAACUUCGGGAAACCGGAGCUAAUACCGGAUAAUAUUUUGAACCGCAUGGUUCAAAAGUGAAAGACGGUCUUGCUGUCACUUAUAGAUGGAUCCGCGCUGCAUUAGCUAGUUGGUAAGGUAACGGCGUACCAAGGCAACGAUGCAUAGCCGACCUGAGAGGGUGAUCGGCCACACUGGAACUGGACCACGGUCCAGACUCCUACGGGAGGCAGCAGUCUGGAAUCUUCCGCAGAGGGCGAGAGCCUGACGGAGCAACGCCGCGUGAGUGAUGAAGGUCUUCGGAUCGUAAAACUCUGUUAUUAGUGAAGAACAUAUGUGUAAGUAGCUGUGCACAUCUUGACGGUACCUAAUCAGAAAGCCACGGCUAACUACGUG